rnacentral:misc_RNA from 1 species
GAUGAAGGAACGCAGCGAAAUGCGAUAAGUAAUGUGAAUUGCAGAAUUCAGUGAAUCAUCGAAUCUUUGAACGCACAUUGCGCCCCCUGGUAUUCCGGGGGGCAUGCCUGUUCGAGCGUCAUUUCACCACUCAAGCCUCGCUUGGUAUUGGGCAACGCGGUCCGCCGCGUGCCUCAAAUCGUCCGGCUGGGUCUUCUGUCCCCUAAGCGUUGUGGAAACUAUUCGCUAAAGGGUGUUCGGGAGGCUACGCCGUAAAACAACCCCAUUUCUAAGGUUGACCUCGGAUCAGGUAGGGAUACCCGCUGAACUUAAGCAUAUCAAUAAGCGGAGGA